AUUGAACGCUGGCGGCAGGCCUAACACAUGCAAGUCGAGCGAGCGGCGGACGGGUGAGUAAUGUAUGGGGACUGCCCGAUAGAGGGGGAUAACUACUGGAAACGGUGGCUAAUACCGCAUACUAUCGGAUAACCCAUAUGGGAUUAGCUAGUAGGUGGGGUAAAGGCUCACCUAGGCGACGAUCCUUAGCUGGUCUGAGAGGCUGAUCAGCCACACGUGAAAUGAGACACGGCGCAGACUCCUACGGUGGCACCAGUGGGGAAUAUUGCGCAAUGGGCGCAAGCCUGAUGCAGCCAUGCCGCGUGUAUGAAGAGGGCCUUAGGGUUGUAAAGUACUUUCAGCGGGGAGGCGUUACCCGAAGAAGAAGCACCGGCUAACUCCGUGCCAGCCGCCGCGGUAAUAC
rnacentral:rRNA from 1 species